UACGUAGGGUGCAAGCGUUGUCCGGAAUUAUUGGGCGUAAAGAGCUUGUAGGCGGCCCGGUAAGUCCGCUGUGAAAGUCCAGGGCUCAACCCUGGGAUGCCGGUGGAUACUGUCGGGCUCGAGUCCGGAAGAGGCGAGUGGAAUUCCUGGUGUAGCGGUGAAAUGCGCAGAUAUCAGGAGGAACACCAAUGGCGAAGGCAGCUCGCUGGGACGUGACUGACGCUGAGACGCGAAAGCGUGGGGAGCAAACAGG
rnacentral:rRNA from 1 species